CCUGUGAUUUGAAGUCUGCCUGUUCAGAUUCCUGUAACCAACUGGACCAGCCUUCCUCUCCCACUUUGCAACAUGUGCCCAUUACUGAAUCAAAGCUCCAGGAUGUAUCCCAAUUUGAUCUGGAUACACAGCUCUUAGCAAAUAUGAAGGCUAUAUCCACAAGAUUUUUUAUGAUGCCCAUCCGUGAGUAUACAUGUGACUAUAUACCAAGAGAAGCAAGUGCCUGAGACCUGAAACACCAUUGCGAUUAUUAAAGGAUUCAUGUUUUAACAGUGAACCACAACCUGACAGCACCAGUCUGUUACUAAGAAGGAAGUGGUACAGUACAGAAGGAUCUAAAAGGGAAGGUGCCCUACUGUCUGUAAUAUAAACACAGAAGAACGGAAAAGAAAACACUUAAAGAAAGGUGUCAUGCUGAAGUGGACUCAUACCAAAUACGUAAGUUAAUAGAUCAUACAUCUUCAAAUCUACCACAUUCAGGGAUAUUGAGGGGAGAGCCAUAGUAAUAUACUUUUCUGGAUGUAAACACUGGACAGCAUGAACCGGUUUCUUGGAACUGAUAAGACAGCUUCAAGGAAGAGAUAAAUCCAGGUUAUCAUUUUAAUUUGAUGUCACCUACACCCAAACCACAGUGUGACAAAAUUGUAUGGAAUUAUUGGAAAUAAUCAGUCAUCAGCAAUGACAAUGUAUACCUAUACUGGUGCAAUAAUAGAAAUCUGUACAGGAUCAAGCUUCUAAGGAGAAAGACAGGCCUUGUUCCUAUGCAGAUGAGCAAAUUAAAAACAAUAGUGUAACUAGCAAAUAUAUAAAUGAAUAUUAUAUUCUGGCUUUGUAGCUGGCAUUCAGACACAGUGAGUUGGGCACUGCUGUUUACUCUCUUGAAUUGGUCAGCACCACUUUUGUCAACUUGUAACUGAAAAAUAACUCAAAUGCCCAGAGUUUGGGCUCUCCGAUAUCUUUCUAGUUCCAACGACAGUACUUUAUCUAAAUAAAGAGCAGAGAAUAUACUCCAGAAUAUCAAAGAGAAAUAGCUCCCUAGAUUGCAGUGUAGAUAUUGUCUGUGGAUGUAUAGCUUCAAACACUGUCCAAAAUUUUUAGACAGGAGCAAUGGUAUUUCUGAAUAUAUAGUGGCUGGAUAAAUUUAUCUAAGACCUGUAUAGAGUGAAGAAAAGCUACAAAAAAAAGGCACAUAGAGAUGAAGCAUUACCAAUAUUCUUCUGUAGCUUAAGAAGGCUUAACUUAGAGCCUUUGGUUUAACUGGGUGUCCCGAUCCAGUAUCAGGGGGGUUUCGUUACCAUCCCAAGGACGAGAUUAAGACGCUAAAACCAGUCAAAUAUCGUACAACCUUUUAACUUUAUUUUCCACAAAGUGGGGAGAAAAGGUGGGGAAAGGUGAAGGGGAGGAGAGAGAGAAAAAGAGAGAGAGAGAGAGAGAGAAAGGGAUAUCACCACACGUGGAUCCAGCGGCGUCCUGUUGGUCCUCUUCACCCUGGGUGUAAAUUUUAGCGAUGCGCGUGCAGUAAUUACAACUCAAGCAGGGUCUGACCCCAGGUUCCCACUGAAAAGUUCGGAGCCAAAUCAAGGCAAAUUAAAUAAAUAAAUUGUAAUGACACGCGUGCAGUAGUUACAGCUCGAGUUGGGUGCCUCCAAAGAGGGACCCCGAACAAAGAAAUCCCUGGGCAAUUAUACUUUCCAAUCUAAGCUCUCCGCUCUUCACGCAGUAGUUUGGACCAAUAGUAAUAUUUAGGUCUGGGGUCUCCUGCUCCUUAUUGGGUCCCUAGGUAGGUUGUUUACCGUUGUGGUUUCUGCUGACAGAUGCGUUUUCAUUCU